AUGGUACACUCUGUCGGCCUCGUGGUCGUCCUCCUCGCCGCGUACCUCGUCGUGGCGCUCGCCGCGCAGGCUCCGGCUCCGGUGGCCUCCCAGAAGCCCGGUUCAGCGGCAGCACCCUCCAAGGCCUCCGCAAAGGCUCCUGCUUCGGUCCCCGAAAAGACCGCGAAAGCGCCCACGGCGGUGAACGCCACGUCCGCGGCUACUCCGAAGGCUGCACAGGCCAAGGCUCCGGCCGCCAAGACAGCGACGCCCGACCAUGCGCCCGCGAAGGGGUCCGCGUCGAGCCCGUCCGAAGCCGAAGCCGCGGAGUCUCCCGACGACGCCGAGGAUGAUUCAUUCGCCGAGACGCCGUCCUCCUCAUUGUCGGACGAUGACUCCGACACAGACGACGACAGCCCGCCAGGGCCUGCCGGCUCGCCAGACUCAGACUCGCCAGCUGACUCGCCUGACCCCGCCGCAGACGACGAGAGCGGCAGCGUCGGCGUGAGGAGUGGCCUGGUGGCCUCCGUCGUGGCCGUGGCCACCUCAGCCUCAGUCGUGCUUUUAUUUUAG
rnacentral:rRNA from 1 species